CCUACGGGAGGCAGCAGUGGGGAAUAUUGGACAAUGGCGGGAACCCUGAUCCAGCGACGCCGCGUGAGUGAAGAAGUAUCUCGGCAUGUAAAGCUCUUUCAGCCGGGAAGCAAGAAAUGACGGUCCCUGACUAAGAAGCCCCGGCUAACUACGUGCCAGCAGCCGCGGCAAUCCGUAGGGGGCAAGCGUUAUCCGGAUUUACUGGGUGUCAGGGGAGCGUAGACGGUUACGCAAGUCUGGAGUGAAAGGCGGGGGCCCAACCCCCGGAGUGCUUUGGAAACUGUAUGACUGGAGUGCAGGGGAGGUAAGUGGAAUUCGUAGUGUAGCGGUGAAAUGCGUAGAUAUUAGGAGGAACACCAGUGGCGAAGGCGGCGUACUGGACUGUAACUGACGUUGAGGCUCGAAAGCGUGGGGAGCAAACAGGAUUAGAUACCCCGGUAGUC
rnacentral:rRNA from 1 species